GUCUGCAACUCGACUACAUGAAGCUGGAAUCGCUAGUAAUCGCGGAUCAGAAUGCCGCGGUGAAUACGUUCCCGGGUCUUGUACACACCGCCCGUCACACCAUGGGAGUUGACAACGCCCGAAGUCAGUGACCUAACCGAAAGGAAGGAGCUGCCGAAGGCGGGGUUGAUAACUGGGGUGAAGUCGUAACAAGGUACC
rnacentral:rRNA from 1 species